GGCAGUUUGGUGUAACGGUUAGCAUCUUUCCUUUACAACUUUCUCAAUCGAUUGUCAAAUCGGAAAAGACGAGGGUUCGAUUCCCUCAACAGCCU